GUAUCGUGAGUGAAAAUUCGUGCUCAGUACGCCCGUAUUGUGUCUGCGUCGACUUUUCAACAAAGCUCCCCUUCCGAACGCCUCACGGAGCAACGUGUAAAUUCGUUACCGCUUUAACUGUCCCCGACACAUCCCCCACGAAUACAGAAUGCCAGCCGCAGCACCGCCAGAAAAUGGUGCCGGAGUACCGAAAACCGAGCUGCAGGAGUUGCAGCUCAAACAGCAGCAUGUGGUCGAUGAGUCCCUGGACAGUACCCGGCGUAUGUUGGCACUAUGCGAGGAGAGCACUGAGGUGGGAAUGCGAACCAUCGUAAUGCUGGAUGAACAAGGAGAGCAAUUGGACCGAAUCGAGGAGGGCAUGGAUCAGAUCAAUGCCGACAUGCGCGAGGCGGAGAAAAACUUGAGCGGCAUGGAAAAGUGCUGCGGUAUCUGUGUCUUGCCGUGCAACAAAAGCGCCUCAUUCAAAGAGGACGACGGUACCUGGAAGGGCAACGAUGAUGGCAAGGUAGUCAACAAUCAGCCCCAGCGUGUGAUGGACGACCGUAACGGAUUGGGUCCGCAGGCCGGCUACAUCGGAAGGAUCACGAACGAUGCCCGAGAGGACGAGAUGGAGGAAAACAUGGGCCAGGUGAACACGAUGAUCGGAAAUCUGCGUAACAUGGCGCUCGAUAUGGGCUCCGAGCUCGAAAAUCAGAACAGGCAGAUUGAUAGAAUCAAUCGCAAGGGCGGAUCGAAUGAGGACAGGAUAAAGGCGGCUAAUGAAAAAGCGCACUCACUUCUCAAAUAAAAAGGGUACCGAGUAUAUAUCUAUCCGUGCAUAUAGACGAUAUACACACCUAUCUAUACAUAUAUAUAUACAUAUACUUGUAUGGUUAUCGUUAUUAUUUUACCACUCUAUUUCGGAUAUCGAAUCGAAACGAACAAAAAUGGAGAUUCCAAUGCGACCAGGAUAGCAGCGGCCAACGAGCGGGCCCAUGAUCUACUCAAGUAAGGCGGCUGCACCUCGGGCCGCUUGAUGAUGGCCGACGAUCGACGGAGGAACGGAGAGCAAGCGAAAGGCAACAAGAAAUUGGGUCGCUAUCCGAAGUCGGUUGAAGGUUUUGUUCCGUUACUCCGAGUAAGUUGAAAGGUUGAUGGAAGGAUCCAUCACCAUCUGAUUGAACACUGGAGCGCAUGAUAGGGUGAACUGAAACAUUGACACACGCCGAAGGAGAGAAACUGUCGAUUAGAUUGCUUCGCGUUUAUAUAAAACAAAAAUAUACAGCUGCUGUUUGCCCGGUAGUGUGUGUAAUGAAGUGAAGCCGUGCAUGCAGCAAAAACGAUCGUGUUUAAUCGAGACUAAAGUUAAUGAAAAAGGAUAAAUUCUUAACAUUACCAAACAAAACCAUAAAACACCGGCAUACAACAAAAGGGAGGCACGCGAAUGUAACAACAACGAUAAUAUCCUUAGGUUUCAUUGGGUUGUGCGUUUCUUUGGUUUCGUCGUUUAUUGAGGAUAGGCCAGGCCAGGUUGAGGCCAAUGUGCAUGUGUUGCGUUCGGUGUGUAGCCUUCUUACCUUUACCGGUCGGAGUCCCUACGGAGACGAACCAUCUCGAACCCACCAUCUUUUGCUGAGUUCCACUCUAUAACGGUUACGUUCAGGCUACUCGGGACCAAAGUAUCCUGUCCUUUUUCAUUUUUCGCCCAAUUUAUCGCCUCUCCGACCAUUGUUGUUAACGCUUGUUAGUAGCGUGUUUGUAGUAGCGGCAAAAGGGUGGCUGUCACUAGUCGUACGUCGUGCGAGGGAAUUUGUUGUUUUUUGUGUUGUUAGUUUGUUUGUCCAAUUUUACCAUUAGUACUCAACGUAGGAUAGGAUAACAAUCAUCUUCCUGAUAGAUUACAACGUUGUUGCGAACGGAAUGGUGUGACUGUGAAGGCCGGUCACAACACGAACUUUGUCUCUCCAGCCGUAGCUCUAUCGCAUUUAUGUUCGGGGAUCGCCGUUGGGUCUGUUUCAAGGAUCACACUUUCUUCUGUUUUCACGCAUCGCGCUGACUGUUGUCUCAAAACCAAGCUACAUAACCAGCCUACUGUUUGUUCGCCGGACUCUGCUUUUGUGUGCGGUUUGCUUUUAUUCCCACCGAGCGAUAGAAAACCAUGUUUUGAAGGCAUCGAACACUCACAUCGUGAUUGUGGAACACAGCCUACUAUUGCGAAACGCCGAGUGCAUGUUUUGUGGGAAACACAGCGCGUUGGGCGAACCAUUUUAACCAUAGAUUGGAUAGCGGGAAAAGCGUCGGUUAAAACAUUACCACCACUACCACCAUGAUGAGCCACGAGCCGGAAACGGUAUCCUAAACUGUCUAAAUCUUAUUCUACCACCCAAACUAAUAUCGACGCAAUUGAGUGUGCCGUCUGUGUGCCGGCAACCGCACUUCUCUUCCUAGAUCGUAGAGCAGUAAAUAUCUAAAUAGCCACUAGUCUCUCUGUCGCUCUCUGUGUCUCACUCGCACUCUAUCUCUCUCUCUCGCGCCAAGAAAUUGAACUCCACCCGAAGCCCACCUUCUGUCUGGCCACAGGAUUUGGGAAAUGCAUCUUGUACUCUCCACAUCUGCAGUCUUCCCCGCAGUCGAUGCGAUGCAAGAUUUUACGCGAUACCAUUACGUUUUUUGUCGGGAUCCCGCGCAAAAUGGGCGCGCACCGACCAACAGCAGCAGCAGAAACAGAACAAGAAUUGGUACCACAAAUUAGCGGGAAAAAACUCAAUUUAAAGAUCUAACCGUGUAGUGUAGAUAAUUAGAUUCACUUCGUUCCGUUCGCAGUAAGUACACAGUCUUGCAUAUAUAGUGUUGUGUGUCCACUUGCUCUUGCUCUAACCGACUUUUGAUGAGUAGUGUUGAACAGUUGGAAGUUUCAUUUGGCCGCGCACCGCGUACACGCUCGCGUGCUCUUGGGCCGCGUUCGGCGGUCGCGACAGAUUUUGCAAAACAUACAGACACAAUUUUAACACUUCAUAAUAGCAUCAAUCUUACAACCAGAGGCCAAUUCGCUACUAGUAGAUUGGCUGGCUGGAUGGCCGGCCGGCUGGUGUAGUGGGAAGGAAUGCGAACAGUUGAUGCUCUCCCUAUCCGCUAAGUCGCCGCCGGCCGGUCUGGUCCUGGCAGAAGCUAAAUUAAAAUCUCUAAAAAGAAAAAAAAACUUAAAGACACACGAGAGGGAGGUCCUUUAAAUAUAAAUAUACAAAUUUAUUAUACAAUUAUGGACGAUAACAAACGUAUAUUUACUCUGCCUGAGCCGACGAGAGUGAAAUGGGUGGUGGGAUCGUUAUAAUAUCAUAUCAAACGAGCAGAAGCGCGCGUGAAAAGAGAAGACUCUUCCCCGCAACACACGCAGUGAGCAGCAGAAGCAGAACCAGAAGCAGCAGUAGAGAAAUCGCAGAUCAAAAAACAUUAAAUUACAAACCUAAAAACAAACCAACUAGUGAAACAAGAACACCGAAGUGAAUUGUAUCGCAAAGCAAGCAAAUAAGACGGAGAAUAAAUGAAUUAACAAGGGAGGAGUAAGGUAAAAGAAGAGACCACCAAACGAAGGGCAGCGACUUUACGACAUUAAGCAUGAGAAGGAUUGCAAUACUAUUGCGCGCGGUGUAUCCUACCGAUGGAAGACAAUUGGCUGGCGAUUGGUGAUCCACAGAGCAUUAAUCCCCAAGGAUAUGGAAUAUAUAUACAAUAUACAUAUAUAUUGCGAGUCCAGUGACGCAGAAAAAGGAGGGAAGAAAAAAAACGCAAACUUUAUCAUAUGCCAUUAUUACUGUUGGACUUGCAAACAGAGACACACCGAAGACAAAAAGACACGCAUACGUUCAAGGUAUAUAUACACUCAUUAUUAUUAUGUUUGAACAAACGACGUUGAUUGAGUAGAUUCAUCAGCAAUAAUAAACAAUUGUGAUAAUACAAUACAUACACGAAAAGCAACACUGGGCGGACGGCAAACGAAAGCGGAAAGCGGACACUGUGAAAGAGAAGUGAGCAAAACUUUGUUAAAGCGCAAACCAAUUGGUUCGAAAUCUCCAGGUUAAGGAUGGGACGGCAGGAUCACACUCUCACCAUUCCCCCUUUUUCGACCGUACCGUGCAAGUACACUCGCUAUGGCUAUGGUUUUUCUGUGCCAACACCCCCCGAUGGCAGAGAUACUUCAGAGGCCGACCCUUAUUUGUGCGUGGCACACAAGAAGAACGAAGCACGUAACAAAUCGUAAGCAAUGCUAGAAUAAUUUUCGCACGGGACACUGCUUGAUGGGAAAACUUAAAGCUUCCCCCUGCAUCCCGUCUCUCUGGUCUGCUGCCGGUGCUGCUGGUCCAUCCCAACCACCGCCACGCCCCUUAGUGAUUAUCCGAUUGUUGAUCGAUGCUGUGCUAGGGCGAUCACAUCGACAGCACCCCGAUUAUGGCCUCUAGAAGAUAUUAUAUGUUGAACCAAAACGGUUAGUCCAACGAAUUGAAUUCGUCGAUUUAGGUAGCCAGUGUGUCCGAGAGUGUAUGUGGGCCGUUUUGGGGUAACGCUAGGCGGACGGAGAGAACAAGCAACAACAAAAUGAUGGCAAUGAGCAAUUUUAAGCUGUCCAGAAACCAGGUGCUCCCCGGUGUGGGAAACGACGACGGACACACGAGUAGAACAAACUGAUAAAAUGAAAUAUGCAAACACAAACACUAGAUAAACAAAUAUCUCAUAUUACCUAUAGCAGCAGCAGCAGCAGCAGCCCCCCUAUUUAGAGUGGUUGACAUCCAUUAUUGACACACACCCAGCAGAAAGUGCGCGGCAGUUGGUGGUGUAGGUGUACUAUUGGCCCCACAGCGCGCGACAAAACUCUGCAAACCCUCUUGCUGUCUUUACGAAACUAAAACCGAAACUCUACGUGUGUAAAAAACAACUAAAGAAAACGGAAGGCAAAACUCCAAUCUAAUACCAUUAACUCUGAAUGAAAACAACACAAAAGUCUAAUGAUAAGCAACCUAUAAGUUUCGCUAUUUAUUACUAACUCUAGUGCAUGCAUGCUGGCAUGGUUUGUAAGGAAUUAUUUAUAGGCCGUUUCUGUCUUUCGUUGCCGCUUGUUGGUCAACCUAUGUACGAACGACCACGAAACACGCUAAUGACUCUCGAUGUGCUCCAGAAUCGAUUGCAAAAAUGAAUGAAUGCAAAAGAACGGGCGAAAACUCCCCGAAAAACGCGGUGGGUGCGGGGACGAAACACACAAACACAACAAGCAAAAAGUUUACGAAAUGUUAACCAGUUAAGUUUGGUGGAACGGUGGAAAACUCUUCUUAGCAUAAAUGAGAACUCGGAAGUAUUGUAAAUAAAGUGCAAAUACACGCGGCAAACACACACUCUCACGCCACUAACACAUACACACAGCUGUACAAGGAUAUUCACACAAAAGACACAGCAGACACACACAACACGGAACAACAAACAAAUCAGUUAUCGACAAUUAAACCCAACACACGCACGUCGCAAUCGUUGAAUGCGCCUCUCAGGGCAAGAAGAGAGCAAAUGGUCGACAUUUCCCGUUUUGUGUUUUAGUUUGCUGCCUGUUUCUAGCUAAGCGAAACAAACAAUGGCCAAAAGAUAUACAAAACAAACGAAAGACACACACGUGAUGCAUUUACACACCUAGUGUUGCUGCAGAGCCUGCUUAGGCGUACCUGCUGUAUAGGAAGAGUGUUGUGAUUUUAGUUGCUUGUUGCGUUAUACUAUUAUUGCCUUUAUGUCUACUACGUUUAGUACUAAGCUUCGUUUUGCGGACGUCAAUCUAACAAACACACACACACACACACACACAUACUACCUGUGCACCUCGUUAAGGCAACAUCAAUUGUGUCACUUCAAUCACUUUGUUGUCACAGAAAAAAAACUGUGUCACAGACUCUGGUGGUCACACAUCCAGUAAUCACAAAGCAUCGUAAAGUUUAUUUUUUUAAACUCUAAUAACUACUGACUACUAGAAAACAGAGCGUGCGGCACCGUUUUAUGCUAAUGUUUGUACAUAACCUCACACCAAAUGCGUGUGUGUGUGUGGCAGAGCGAAACACCGUUGCAGAGAGCAACAGCAUCCCAUCCCAACACACGCACAACAUGAUGCGAGCAGUUCCAUUCCGUUCUCGCCGUUCUUUCUUGAACUUGUUGUUGGUUGUUGGUUGUUGCACUAGGCACGCUUUUACACGCACACACACAUACAGAGACACAGACACACAACCCGACAGCUAAUGCAAAUGCGUACGUACCGCGGAUAUACAUAUUAAAUAUUAAAGGAAUAAAGAGUAUGCUUUUUUGGUACAUUUCGUAUAUUAAAUUUCAACCGCACUCUACCGAGACACAUUCUAAUUCAAAAUUGAUAAUCCAGCAAGAAGAAAAAAAAGUGCAACAAGCGUAUAAACUAGCUGCAGAUUGAUUGAAACUGUAUUACGGUUAAUACUUUUUAAAAAUGUAUUUCAAGUAUCCUGUAAAAAUAAAAUGAUUAUAAUGGA